UUGACAUCCAGAGAAUUUAGCAGAGAUGCUUUAGUGCCUUCGGGAACUCUGAGACAGGUGCUGCAUGGCUGUCGUCAGCUCGUGUUGUGAAAUGUUGGGUUAAGUCCGCAACGAGCGCAACCCUUAUCCUUUGUUGCCAGCGCGUAAUGGUGGGAACUCAAAGGAGACUGCCGGUGAUAAACCGGAGGAAGGUGGGGAUGACGUCAAGUCAUCAUGGCCCUUACGAGUAGGGCUACACACGUGCUACAAUGGCGUAUACAAAGAGAAGCGACCUCGCGAGAGCAAGCGGACCUCAUAAAGUGCGUCGUAGUCCGGAUUGGAGUCUGCAACUCGACUCCAUGAAGUCGGAAUCGCUAGUAAUCGUAAAUCAGAAUGUUACGGUGAAUACGUUCCCGGGCCUUGUACACACCGCCCGUCACACCAUGGGAGUGGGUUGCAAAAGAAGUAGAUAGCUUAACCUUCGGGAGGGCGUUUACCACUUUGUGAUUCAUGACUGGGGUGAAGUCGUAACAAGGUAAGCGUAGUGCU
rnacentral:rRNA from 1 species